AUAUUUGUAGUAUACCCUAUUACAUAAGCUUUUCACGCUUAAAAAAAUACUUUAAACUAUUCAAAUAUC
rnacentral:tRNA from 1 species